UCUCCUCAGGACUGCUGGAGUUCAGGCUCACUGUGUCUUUCCGGUCGCCCCUGGAGGCAGAGAUGGCCCGCAGGGCCCUGACUACACACGUCCAACGCCACCGAGGGUUGGCUCAGAAGGAGCUUUGCGUGAGGGGCAGCGCCCUGGCCGUGAGAUGGACUACUGAAGACCCCAUCUGCUUCCGAGUUUCCGUCAACUCCUUCCUGGACCGGCUUCCCCUGGUGAUACGAAACAUUCGCGCUUUGGGGUCCCGGCCUCCGCGACGCCUAGGCCCGGGAAAGGGGGCCGAGGCCUAACCUGGUAGCCCUCACUGGGCAAGGCACGGGGCGUUGACACUUGGCGUCCUGGCCACUUUAUUAUCGGGGGUCUAACGUUCUGCAGGUCCGGGCCUCGGUGGCUCUUGGCCCACUUCAGUUCCUUCCCUGCGCCCGGAGGGACGGGCGCUUACGUGUUUGUUACUGCACAACAUGAAACUGAGCUACUC